rnacentral:lncRNA from 1 species
GGCUGCGAGUUUCCCUGGUCUUGAAAGCUAAAGGGACACUGGAGACUGAUAAAGGUUAACCUCCUGGUAUUUGGCCUGCACUGUCACUUACAGUGGCUUUUCACCUCGCUGCCUUCCCAGCUCACCCACCCUCCACGUGAACACUAGAAAAAAUACUAAGAAAAACUAUGAAUAAUAAUAACUAAUAUUUCUACCAUCUAGAAAAUGUUCACCUUUGUUUCAAGUCAAAAUUCUCCGGAAGUUCUUGGACGAACUCACUCUAAAUCUCUAGCAUUAGGGCACACCCUUAAAAUAGAUUUGGUGAUUUGUCUUACUAUCAUUUUAUUGUCGUGGAAUUUCCCCUUGAUCUUUACUGUGGACACCUUGCAGACAAUCAGCCUGUCUUUAUAUUUUUCCACGUGUUUUACAUUAUUUGCCAUUUAACUAGGGCUAGAAGAACACAAUUUGUGCCUAUAAUCAGACCAUUCGGGGUGAUUUUCAGAUAAAAGCUUUACAGAAAGGUUAAAGAAAAGAGGGAAGGCAAUAAGGAAAUGUGUUUUGACAUUUAGCUAGGAAAGUAAAAAGAAGACUAAAAGGGGAAAUGUAAGAGACAAGGACUUCAGCUUAUUUGCAGAAGGAGGCCAUCAGUUUCACCCCACUGUAGCCCCAGACCAUCACGAUAAGACCUGGCCCUUGUUGUUCUAAGGAACUUCUCCACUGGACUGGGCAAUUGGAAGGCUCUGGGCUGGUCCAGCCCAGAUGAUAAUGUGCAGUGGCAGCCCCCAAAGAGAGAGAUGAUGGCCCACUGUCUGAGUAGGAGGAAGGAAACAGGACAAGAGCUUUCCGAUGGCCACUUUGAAAAGUCUGCCCUCUUUCUCUUUCUCUCUCUUCUCCAAGGAAGAUUAGCCCUGAGCUAACAUCUGCUGCCAAUCCUCUUCCUUUUGCUGAGGAAGGCUGGCCCUGAGCUAACAUCCGUGCCCAUCUUCCUCCACUUUAUAUGUAGGAUGCCUGCCACAGCAUGGCUUGCCAAGCAGUGCCAUGUCUGCACCCAGGAUCCAAACCAGCGAACCCUGGGCUACCGAGAAGUGGAACGUGCGCACUUAACCUCUGCGCCACCAGGCCGGCCCCCUCACCUGGAAUUUUAACAUUACAAAUAUUAAUCCAUAAGCUCAACAUUGGAGCCUAUG